GGGGCUAUGGCGCAGCUGGUAGCGCAUCUGCUUUGCAAGCAGAGGGUCGCCGGUUCGAACCCGGCUAGCUCCACCA
rnacentral:tRNA from 2 species